ACUCCUACGGGAGGCAGCAGUCGGGAAUCUUCCACAAUGGGCGCAAGCCUGAUGGAGCAACACCGCGUGAGUGAAGAAGGGUUUCGGCUCGUAAAGCUCUGUUGUUAAAGAAGAACACGUAUGAGAGUAACUGUUCAUACGUUGACGGUAUUUAACCAGAAAGUCACGGCUAACUACGUGCCAGCAGCCGCGGUAAUACGUAGGUGGCAAGCGUUAUCCGGAUUUAUUGGGCGUAAAGAGAGUGCAGGCGGUUUUCUAAGUCUGAUGUGAAAGCCUUCGGCUUAACCGGAGAAGUGCAUCGGAAACUGGAUAACCUGAGUGCAGAAGAGGUAGUGGAACUCCAUGUGUAGCGGUGGAAUGCGUAGAUAUAUGGAAGAACACCAGUGGCGAAGGCGGCUACCUGGUCUGCAACUGACGCUGAGACUCGAAAGCAUGGGUAGCGAACAGGAUUAGAUACCCCGU
rnacentral:rRNA from 1 species